GAUGAACGCUGGCGGCGUGCCUAAUACAUGCAAGUCGAGCGAACAGACGAGGAGCUUGCUCCUCUGACGUUAGCGGCGGACGGGUGAGUAACACGUGGAUAACCUACCUAUAAGACUGGGAUAACUUCGGGGAACCGGAGCUAAUACCGGAUAAUAUAUUGAACCGCAUGGUUCAAUAGUGAAAGACGGUUUUGCUGUCACUUAUAGAUGGAUCCGCGCCGCAUUAGCUAGUUGGUAAGGUAACGACUUACCAAGGCAACGAUGCGUAGCCGACCUGAGAGGGUGAUCGGCCACACUGGAACUGAGACACGGUCCAGACUCCUACGGGAGGCAGCAGUAGGGAAUCUUCCGCAAUGGGCGAAAGCCUGACGGAGCAACGCCGCGUGAGUGAUGAAGGUCUUCGGAUCGUAAAACUCUGUUAUUAGGGAAGAACAAAUGUGUAAGUAACUAUGCACGUCUUGACGGUACCUAAUCAGAAAGCCACGGCUAACUACGUG
rnacentral:rRNA from 1 species